UUACAUAUUGGUUAUUAAGAGAAACCAGAGGCAUGCAGUGUAGUGUGUAGAUUAUAUAUAGUAUGAUAAGGAACUAAUUAAAGAUAAAAGCAGGCAUGAGGAAGAAAGAAACAAGAGAGAGAUGGGAAUCCAAUUCAUCCAACCACUCCCAGACAAAUCAGUUUCAGAAGAGGAGAAGGAAGCUUUGCUUUAUGAUCCCAUAAAAGAAGAUGAUGAUCCGCAAAGGCCUUAAAACCGUAACCCAGAUUUCUCACCUAACCCUUCUCUCUCGGCGUGCAGCUGGGGGAUGGGGGUACAUCUUUGCCCCACCACCUCCUUUCUUUCUCUCUUUAAACCCCUCCCCAACCCUACGACUUUCUCAAAGCUUAGAGACCAAACUCAAAAGCAGGAAAAGGAAAAGUGGCUGGCAGUUCAGGUGGAGUUGUUUCUUCUCUGGUGUCUACUUUAUUGCCAAUUUGCCAACUCAAAAGCUACUUGCUCACUUGCUGGGAGAAGAAAAGGAUUGAGAAAGAGAUCAAGAUGUGGUGCUUCCCCAAUGCAGGAAAUUUAUUCUAAUGCCACUAGUGCAGCACUUCAGAUUGAAAUCACCAUCCUGGGCGUCGUGGUCACACAUGAAGAGAGAGAGCUGGGAGUAUAUAAUGAACAUACAGAUAUACCAGUCAGUGUCAGUGUAAUGAAUUUUUCAUUUAAUCACUUCUGAUUCAUUCAGCUUCAGCAGCAUGUCCAUGCCUUCCCUUGCAUACUUACAUGCCUGGCUCCCUGUAUGCCAUUUGCAAAGUCCACCCGAGGAUCGGUAGCCUUCGCGGAUGGCGUGCGAGGAGCCAUGCAUGCAUCUUGCUUAACCAUUCCCUCUCCCUGCAUGUCUCUAAUCUUCUUCUCACUCUUCUCAAUUUUAUGUGCUGUUAGAGCUUUUUUGUUCCGUUGUUACUCCCACAUGCACAAAGCUACAACAUGUAAAUCCCAAAGAAGAACAUUUAUAGAUUUGUUCAGGCUUUGGUACUUGGUUAGGCAUUUAGAAAACCCACAUUUUCUUCCUUGUUAGCCUUUAUAAAGGAUCCUGAAAAGACUGAAACUCAAGUUCCAAAGUAAUAAAACCGUCCUCAAACUUAAAUAGUAGGAUUAAUGAAUUUGGGAAGGUGUGGGGUGUGCCUGCCCCCAUUGCCCAACUAAAGAUCAUAUCACCCUAUAUAUGGAAGUAAGACUAAGUACACCGCUUUUGAUGUUUUUUCUUGCGAUAUGUAGCAAUCAUAGGUACUAAGUGCACCAUAAUGAAGCAAAGCCUCGGUCACUAUGCUGACAAUAUCAUGUGAUGCAUAACUUGUGGGACUGGAAAGCAUUUAUAUCUUCUUGGUUUUAUCCCAAAAUCAUUGACCAGUUUUAAAAUUUUUG